UACAGAGGUCUCAAGCGUUGUUCGGAUUCAUUGGGCGUAAAGGGUGCGUAGGCGGCGCGGUAAGUCGGGUGUGAAAUCUUGGAGCUUAACUCCGAAACUGCAUUCGAUACUGCCGUGCUUGAGGACUGGAGAGGAGACUGGAAUUUACGGUGUAGCGGUGAAAUGCGUAGAUAUCAGGAGGAACACCGGUGGCGAAGGCGGGUCUCUGGGCCAUAACUGACGCUGAGGAGCGAAAGCGUGGGGAGCGAACAGG
rnacentral:rRNA from 1 species